CGCUAGAAGGAAGUUUGGUGAGAAAAGAUGAAAGGACGAUUAAAGACAUGCCCAAUGAUUUUCUCUUCCGAUUUAAAACUGUGGAGAUGAACAUUAUAUAAGAGACCUCUAAGAUGGUUCCCCCCGCCUGUGAUUAUAACUACUGAGCAUGAAAUUUCUGUCCAAAAACCACUUCAACUUCCCUUAACCUACACACACACACACGUAUGAACAGAUGAAAACUGUGCAAGCGUUUUGACGUGGAUCUGAUCAACGCUGUCAACUCCAGUAAGAAGUCCGUGGCUCAGGAAGGUCGAAGCGUCAUAUCAGAAGAUGUAGGCUUUGAGAGACUGGAGAGAGGCCAAUUACGCAAGUCUGUGGAGGUAACUUCUCUGGCACCCUUUUUACUGAACAAAGGAUGUUUUUUCCUGGUCUCCCUCCAGCCUCUCUAUGAACCGUAAAAGUCUAUCUUCAAAUACAAAGGGAGCCGCUUCCUACAGCGUGAAAGUGAGCUAGGUACAAAAUGGAGCCUAACGACCUCGACCCCUU
rnacentral:lncRNA from 1 species